rnacentral:lncRNA from 1 species
AAAAAAAAAAAGAAAUAUCCUUAAAAAACAACAGGUGUAUACGCUUUAAAAAUACCCAGGUCAUGAGAGACAACACUAAGGAAUAGUUCCAGAUGAAAGGAGACUCAAGAGGUCUGCAGAUGAGAUAACAACACAGUACUUGUGAUGGGUUAGAUUGUGGCCCCCUUAAAAUUCAUGUAUUAAAGCCUAAGCCCCAGUACCUUAGAAUGCAGCUGUAUUUAGAGAUAGGGCCUUUAAAGAGGUAACUAUGGUAAGAGGAGAUUUAAAGCGUGGGUCCUAAUCUCAUAUGACUAGUGUCUUCAUAAGAAGAGUCUAGGACACAGGCAUGUACACAGAGACAGCAGAAACCAUGUGAGGACACAGGGAGAAGGCGGCCAUCUGCAAACCAAGGAAAACAGGCUUCAGGAGAAACACACCUUGAUCUUGGACUUCCAGCCUCCAAAACUUGAACACGGUACAACUUUCACGAGGACUGAGUUAACACCGAGAAUGCAUGUGACAUGGACAACCUGGUGCCUCACUUUUUGUCACAAACAGAACUUUCCUGAGAAGGCACUGCCACUGAUUUUGUUGACCAUCUGCACCACACCUAUCACGCUGCCUCGGCUGACGAUGGGCAUGCACAGGAUGUUC